GAGUUUGAUCCUGGCUCAGGAUGAACGCUGGCGGCGUGCUUAACACAUGCAAGUCGAGCGAUGAAGUUUCCUUAGGGAAAUGGAUUAGCGGCGGACGGGUGAGUAACACGUGGGUAACCUGCCUCAUAGAGUGGAAUAGCCUUCCGAAAGGGAGAUUAAUACAGCAUAACGUUGAAAGAUGGCAUCAUCAUUCAACCAAAGGAGCAAUCCGCUAUGAGAUGGACCCGCGGCGCAUUAGCUAGUUGGUGGGGUAACGGCCUACCAAGGCGACGAUGCGUAGCCGACCUGAGAGGGUGAUCGGCCACAUUGGGACUGAGACACGGCCCAGACUCCUACGGGAGGCAGCAGUGGGGAAUAUUGCACAAUGGGGGAAACCCUGAUGCAGCAACGCCGCGUGAGUGAUGAAGGUUUUCGGAUCGUAAAGCUCUGUCUUUGGGGAAGAUAAUGACGGUACCCAAGGAGGAAGCCACGGCUAACUACGUGCCAGCAGCCGCGGUAAUACGUAGGUGGCGAGCGUUAUCCGGAUUUACUGGGCGUAAAGGGAGCGUAGGUGGAUGAUUAAGUGGGAUGUGAAAUACCCGGGCUCAACUUGGGUGCUGCAUUCCAAACUGGUUAUCUAGAGUGCAGGAGAGGAGAGUGGAAUUCCUAGUGUAGCGGUGAAAUGCGUA
rnacentral:rRNA from 1 species